rnacentral:rRNA from 1 species
UACGUAGGGGGCUAGCGUUAUCCGGAAUUACUGGGCGUAAAGGGUGCGUAGGCGGUCUUUCAAGCCAGAGGUGAAAGGCUACGGCUCAACCGUAGUAAGCCUUUGAAACUGGGAAACUUGAGUGCAGGAGAGGAGAGUGGAAUUCCUAGUGUAGCGGUGAAAUGCGUAGAUAUCGGGGGGAACACCAGUGGCGAAGGCGGCUUCCUGGACUGUACCUGACGCUGAGGCGCGAAAGCUAGGGGAGCAAACAGGAUUAGAUACCCGUGUAGUCCCUGAGCGGG